CCCCUCUCAGGGUCACACCUGGAGAGUAUCCAGUACUCUACCAGUUUCGACCUCGGGAGGGAGAGUCAAGCAGAGGCAUAACCAUUCCAUUCCUAGCUUGGGCAGUGGCUAGCGAGUGGAAGGCAAUCUGCUACUAGU